GAUGAACGCUAGCUACAGGCUUAACACAUGCAAGUCGAGGGGUCUUUGGGGUCGUUGCUCCAAAGACGACCGGCGCACGGGUGAGUAACGCGUAUCCAACCUGCCCUUCAUAUUGGGAUAGCCUUCCGAAAGGGAGAUUAAUACCGAAUAACAUGGAAAAAUUAGCAUGACUUUUCCUAUGAAAGCUCCGGCGAUGAAGGAUGGGGAGUGCGUUCCAUUAGGUAGUAGGCGGGGUAACGGCCCACCUAGCCUACGAUGGAUAGGGGUUCGUGAGAGGAAGGUCCCCCACACUGGAACUGAGACACGGUCCAGACUCCUACGGGAGGCAGCAGUGAGGAAUAUUGGUCAAUGGUCGAGAGACUGAACCAGCCAUGCCGCGUGAAGGAUACGGCCCUAUGGGUCUUAAACUUCUUUUGCGAGGGAGCAAUAAGGUCUACGUGUAGUCCGAUGAGAGUACCUCGCGAAUAAGCAUCGGCUAACUCCGUG
rnacentral:rRNA from 1 species